UACGUAGGGUGCGAGCGUUAAUCGGAAUUACUGGGCGUAAAGCGUGCGCAGGCGGUUCGUCGUGUCCGAUGGGAAAGCCCCGGGCUCAACCUGGGAAUGGCAUUGGAAACUGGCGGGCUUGAGUGUGGCAGAGGGGGGUGGAAUUCCGCGUGUAGCAGUGAAAUGCGUAGAGAUGCGGAGGAACACCGAUGGCGAAGGCAGCCCCCUGGGCUGACACUGACGCUCAGGCACGAAAGCGUGGGGAGCAAACAGG
rnacentral:rRNA from 1 species